AAAAAGAGCCAAAGAGGUAUUAGUACACUGUAAUGAUUUGAUUAGAGAGUUGAAAGGAGGGCACGCACGAGAAAAGCGGAAGAGAGGAAAGAUACGGUAAAAAAAAUAACUGUUGGUGACAGUCAAAAUCAAUCGGUAAAAUACAUGAAAGUUAUGAAAAAUUAAUUAUUACUACAUGCUUCUUCACACACACCAUGGUCUCAGUCUGCAUCUAUCUCAUGGACAUUUCAUAUGACUAUAUCAAUCAAUGUCAACAAUACCCUAAAAAGAACCAAUAUACUACUACUGUCUACAACUUACAGUAUUUAUGAUAUACUUUACUAUUGUUGAUUUUCAUCUAAUUUAUAUUUAUUAAACGAUCAUUGUUGAUUUGGAAUUUAUUUAUUGCUUAUAAAUGCUUCUUGAUUUAGGGGUUAUUCUCAUAACAUUUCCUUAUAUACUAUGAUAUGAUAUGAUAUGAUCAAUUAUUUAAUAAUCCAUGAUGUGAUACUAACAAUUUAAUUUGACCAUUGUACCGUGGAAGGAAUAAUUUUUUAGUAGUAGUUUCUAUUCACAAUUUAAGACGUAUAACUAACAUUCGGUUAUGUGUCAAAAAAAACAUCUAACAUUCGGCUAAAAUGAAAUAGAAAUAUAAAAUAGGAUAUGGAAUUAGUUAUUGCAUUAAUAAAUUAGUAGUUCUUUUUAUUAUUAGUAUCCGGUUUAUUGGACUGUUUAAUUUGGUCUGGUUCAUGGAUCAGUUUUGACAUCAAUUGUUUCAGCCUCCUCAUGAUCGCAGUUGCAGGAAAUCAAACUGUAAUCUUCCAUAUCAAGUUCAGCGUCAAUUACUACCACACUAACUAACGAUUUAUUAUUAAUAGUUAUUUUUACUAUCAACGUUGCGUUCUCUAUUUCUUUAUUGAUAAUGUAUGUAUUAAUUAAUCAUGGAAAAAAACAAAUAGCAAAUAUAAAGAAUGCCUUAUACUUAAGUACGAAAAUACUACUAUUAAUCAACAUUAUUGUUUUGAAUUAACAUUAUUUUCUUAGUUCUUUAACCCCUCCUCUCAAAUAGUAAGCCCAUAUUUUCUUGAUUUGAUGAAAAAAGCCCAUCCUCUUUGAUGGAAAAUGUGAAAAUACUACUCCCAUACUAGUUCAAAAUGUAUUUUGUAAAAAAAAAAAAAUUAUAAUUAAGCAAAGUAUGUUGUAAAUUUUUUUUGUGAAGAUGUGCAAGCUAUUUUUACCAUAUGUGAUAUUUUUACUAUGUCCUACUAGUUGCACAACAUAGUAGUACUAACUAGUAGUAUUAAUUAUGGAAAUGAAAAACCAUGAAAAUAUAGUAAUUGUGUUACUUGAAGCAAAAGUGAUUAUGAAGGUAGGAGUAGUACUAGUAAUCUUGAAAGUCACUCAAAACACUAUUUUAGGGAGUGCUAUCUAUGUGUCUGUGAUAUCACACACACACACACACGCAUGUCUGUGAAAGGCUCAGGGUUUUGAAUUGAAGAAAUAUAAAAAAAGAUCAUGGGAAAAGCAAAAGCAUGAUUAUAAUUUGUAGGUGCAGUAGCAGAGAAGAGAAGAGAGGAGGAUUAUGAUGAAUGAUCAUCUCAUGCUAUGACCACAGGCAGGCAGGCUGGGGAAUCUCAUAUGCAAAAAGGAAUUGGACCACUUUGUUCUCUCUCUCUCUCUCUCUCUCUCUCUAUUUUCAAUUGGUUUUGAGGGAAUAUGUUAUACGGUCAAAGCAGCUCUAAAGCUUACUAAAGGACAUUAUGCCCUUCAGCCUUUUCCUUUUCUCAAUGGGACCACCAUCCCCUAACAUACUAACACCUCUUUCUUUCUUGUGUUUCUUCUCAUAUCAUUUCUAUGAUUUUC
rnacentral:lncRNA from 1 species